rnacentral:rRNA from 1 species
UACGUAGGUGGCAAGCGUUGUCCGGAAUUAUUGGGCGUAAAGGGCGCGUAGGCGGUACCUUAAGUCAGAUGUGAAAACCCGAGGCUUAACUUCGGAGGUGCAUUUGAAAACUGGGGAACUAGAGUGCAGGAGAGGUAAGUGGAAUUCCUAGUGUAGCGGUGAAAUGCGUAGAUAUUAGGAGGAACACCAGUGGCGAAGGCGACUUACUGGACUGACACUGACGCUGGAGGCGCGAAAAGCCGUGGGGGAUCAAAACAGGAUUAGAAAACCCCCCAGUUAGUCC